rnacentral:rRNA from 1 species
UUUCCGUAGGUGAACCUGCGGAAGGAUCAUUACCGAGUGAGGGCCCUCUGGGUCCAACCUCCCACCCGUGUUUAUUUACCUUAUUGCUUCGGCGGGCCCGCCUUCACUGGCCGCCGGGGGGCUCACGCCCCCGGGCCCGCGCCCGCCGAAGACACCCCGAACUCUGUCUGAAGAAUGAAGUCUGAGUGAAAAUAUAAAUUAUUUAAAACUUUCAACAACGGAUCUCUUGGUUCCGGCAUCGAUGAAGAACGCAGCGAAAUGCGAUACGUAAUGUGAAUUGCAAAUUCAGUGAAUCAUCGAGUCUUUGAACGCACAUUGCGCCCCCUGGUAUUCCGGGGGGCAUGCCUGUCCGAGCGUCAUUGCUGCCCUCAAGCCCGGCUUGUGUGUUGGGCCUCGUCCUCCGAUUCCGGGGGACGGGCCCGAAAGGCAGCGGCGGCACCGCGUCCGGUCCUCGAGCGUAUGGGGCUCUGUCACCCGCUCUGUAGGCCCGGCCGGCGCUUGCCGAUCAACCCAAAUUUUUAUCCAGGUUGACCUCGGAUCAGGUAGGGAUACCCGCUGAACUUAA